rnacentral:hammerhead_ribozyme from 1 species
GCACUGCUGAGGAGUCCUAUCCCGGGACGAAACAGCUGUCCAGUGC